UGUGCAUAUGGAACAGAAGAAAUUGAAUCUUCCACCUUUAAUAUUUGCAGACAGGGACGAAUUGUGCAGAUGACACACCCAAGUUUGCAAAUAUCGGAAGUACUGUUUAUCGUGCUCCGUAUGCUUGUGUCUCAUCUGUAGAGGACCCUUGUACCAGAAACUUGGAGUUUGCUAAAGCACUCCCAUCUAGCUCAGACAUAGGAUCAACAGUUAAAGAAAUUGGCAAAGCUCAUGCACCUGAUAUUCACACUGUUAUAGUAGAUAACAAUCCAGAAGCUGCAGAAAGGACUCAAGUGAAGGAAUCACCAAAAGGUUUUAAACGCCUCCUGAGGUUUGGAAAAAAGAACCACACCUCUGGAGGAGCAGAAUCAAAUGGUGCAAGCAUGAAUAGCAUGAAGCAGGAUGAUAGUGCCACAAAUGCUCCCUUGCCUAGUGAAGUUUUCACUUUGAAGAAUUUGAUCUCCCAAGAUGAAACCCCAACUGCUGGCAAUGUUUCACAGAAGUGUAAGAUUUCAUGUUAUCUGCAAGUUUUACAUGUUUAUUAUUUAUAUUGAUGAAUGAGGAACUGAGGUGUUUACACUUGCAUACAACUCGCCUCUCUUUGUUAUCUCCCUUUCGAAGCAAGACUAGCGAGAAAAGGUGACAGCAUUCAGUAUCAAGAUUAUUCAAGUGCUCCUCUGGUUGUCAGCUGGAGGUGUGAUUAGUCACACAGUUGUUUAUGACUUCCCAAAACAGUUCCUUUCGUAAAUUUAGUUACUGUAAAGAUGUGUUGUGUUAAGAUGAGAAAUGUAUAUACUUUCGACUCUAUGUCAACUUUCAAUGUACUCUACAGUUUGGAUUUGAUAGUAGGUGUUUUGCAGUGAAAUUUUUGGAAGUUCCUAUUGUAUAUUUACUGCUUCAAAGUAUCAAAACUCUACUGUCAUUCAUUUAGAA